rnacentral:rRNA from 1 species
AAAUUGAAGAGUUUGAUCAUGGCUCAGAUUGAACGCUGGCGGCAGGCCUAACACAUGCAAGUCGAACGGUAACAGGAAACAGCUUGCUGUUUCGCUGACGAGUGGCGGACGGGUGAGUAAUGUCUGGGAAACUGCCUGAUGGAGGGGGGAUAACUACUGGAAACGGUAGCUAAUACCGCAUAACGUCGCAAGACCAAAGAGGGGGACC